rnacentral:rRNA from 1 species
UGACUUAGCGGCGGACGGGUGAGUAACGCGUGGGCAACCUGCCUUACACAGGGGGAUAACAAUUAGAAAUGAUUGCUAAUACCGCAUAAGACCCCAGUACCGCAUGGUACAGGGGUAAAAACUGAGGUGGUGUAAGAUGGGCCCGCGUCUGAUUAGGUAGUUGGUGGGGUAGAAGCCUACCAAGCCGACGAUCAGUAGCCGACCUGAGAAGGCGACCGGCCACAUUGGGACUGAGACACGGCCCAAACUCCUACGGGAGGCAGCAG